ensembl:lncRNA
AGGGAAGCCAUUGCAUGUCACAGCAAAUUCAGGAGGAAAUGCAAUUCCUUCUUUGAUGAGUUGUCACCAUGUUCUUUUUGGGAAACAGACACACACCAUCCCCAGCAGUCAUUAAAUGACUGAUGAAGUUUGUGGCCUGCAAACCACCCAACCCUGAGCAUCAGGAGGGAAAACAGGGUAAGGGCCUGUCUACACUGUAGGCAUGUACUCUUGGAAGAAAAAUAACAAAUGCCAUCCUUUGUUCCUAGUAUACAAGCAAAAAAGCAAGUUGUCACCCUUCAAAGAGUGCACGAACACCAGUCCUACCAUCCAUCCAGUCCUGCCUCUUAAAGCUCCUCCUGAGAUGCAGGUUUACUUGGAAGAAUACCUCUCCCAGAUAGAGGAGAAGAUAACAUCCAACCAAAGUAACAGGGACCAUUUCUACUUCAUGGUGCAUUGUCUGGAGGACUUUAUGUAUCCUUCUUCCCAAGAAGAUGUCAUACAGCUUGCUGAAAACUGCCUCUCCACUGCAGAGCUGUCUGCUUUCCCCUGGCCUGAGGUCCCAAGAAUUAAUACCCUCCAGUUCAUAGGCUGGCUCCAGCUUUCCAUCAGCUAUGUGGCCACCACCCUUGGCAGACAGAUGCUUUGUGCUGCAGAUCCAAAUGCACCAACUGGUGAGGAGAAUGAGAAAGAAGACCAAGACCUGGUGAAUGCAAUGAAGAAGCUGGUGGCAAAGGCUCAGAUACCAUGACCUCAAGGGUUCCUCAUUAGAAAUCUCUGUAACACCUAUAGGCUCACCUAAAUGUGGAAGAUGCUCCUGGUGCAGAAGUGGAUUUUACCCAAGUGGUAGAAAUUUCACAAGUAAACUGUUUCUGAGAGCCCAUGUACCUAAGCAGAGCUGAUGGGGUGGGCUUCACCCAACUUGUGUCAUGUAAAAUUUACUCAUAAGGCUCCCUUCCAGUCUUGAGAGAGAUUCAAGCCCCUCUAGAGAGCAGUUCACCUCCCCUUUGAGCCCAUCCAGUAUGGGACUGUUUCUCUGGAGGGGCUGAUUUCUGUGUUGGAGGAAUGCAGUAAUUCCAUGCUAAAAUGUGGGCAGGACAAAUUUCACUGCCUGUAUUUCUGUGACACCCAGCACUUUUUCCUCCGAAACACGUAUUUCAAAGGACGCACAAAUAGUAAUAAAACAUGGAAAUCAUGUUCUCA